GACGAACGCUGUCGGCGUGCUUAACACAUGCAAGUCGAACGGAAAGGCCCUGCUUUUGUGGGGUGCUCGAGUGGCGAACGGGUGAGUAACACGUGAGUAACCUGCCCUUGACUUUGGGAUAACUUCAGGAAACUGGGGCUAAUACCGGAUAGGAGCUCCUGCUGCAUGGUGGGGGUCGGAAAGUUUCGGCGGUUGGGGAUGGACUCGCGGCUUAUCAGCUUGUUGGUGGGGUAGUGGCUUACCAAGGCUUUGACGGGUAGCCGGCCUGAGAGGGUGACCGGCCACAUUGGGACUGAGAUACGGCCCAGACUCCUACGGGAGGCAGCAGUGGGGAAUAUUGCACAAUGGGCGGAAGCCUGAUGCAGCAACGCCGCGUGCGGGAUGACGGCCUUCGGGUUGUAAACCGCUUUCGCCUGUGACGAAGCGUGAGUGACGGUAAUGGGUAAAGAAGCACCGGCUAACUACGUGCCAGCAGCCGCGGUGAUACGUAGGGUGCGAGCGUUGUCCGGAUUUAUUGGGCGUAAAGGGCUCGUAGGUGGUUGAUCGCGUCGGAAGUGUAAUCUUGGGGCUUAACCCUGAGCGUGCUUUCGAUACGGGUUGACUUGAGGAAGGUAGGGGAGAAUGGAAUUCCUGGUGGAGCGGUGGAAUGCGCAGAUAUCAGGAGGAACACCAGUGGCGAAGGCGGUUCUCUGGGCCUUUCCUGACGCUGAGGAGCGAAAGCGUGGGGAGCGAACAGGCUUAGAUACCCUGGUAGUCCACGCUGUAAACGGUGGGUACUAGGUGUGGGGUCCAUUCCACGGGUUCCGUGCCGUAGCUAACGCUUUAAGUACCCCGCCUGGGGAGUACGGCCGCAAGGCUAAAACUCAAAGGAAUUGACGGGGCCCCGUACAAGCGGCGGAGCAUGCGGAUUAAUUCGAUGCAACGCGUAGAACCUUACCUGGGUUUGACAUGGAUCGGGAGUGCUCAGAGAUGGGUGUGCCUCUUUUGGGGUCGGUUCACAGGUGGUGCAUGGCUGUCGUCAGCUCGUGUCGUGAGAUGUUGGGUUAAGUCCCGCAACGAGCGCAACCCUUGUUCACUGUUGCCAGCACGUUAUGGUGGGGACUCAGUGGAGACCGCCGGGGUCAACUCGGAGGAAGGUGGGGAUGACGUCAAGUCAUCAUGCCCCUUAUGUCCAGGGCUUCACGCAUGCUACAAUGGCUGGUACAGAGAGUGGCGAGCCUGUGAGGGUGAGCGAAUCUCGGAAAGCCGGUCUCAGUUCGGAUUGGGGUCUGCAACUCGACCUCAUGAAGUCGGAGUCGCUAGUAAUCGCAGAUCAGCAACGCUGCGGUGAAUACGUUCCCGGG
rnacentral:rRNA from 1 species